CAUGCAAGUCGAACGAAAAGAGGGAAAGAGCUUGCUCUUUCCGGAAUUGAGUGGCAAACGGGUGAGUAACACGUAAACAACCUGCCUUCAGGAUGGGGACAACAGACGGAAACGACUGCUAAUACCGAAUAAGUUCCAAGAGCCGCAUGGCCCAUGGAAGAAAAGGUGGCCUCUACCUGUAAGCUAUCGCCUGAAGAGGGGUUUGCGUCUGAUUAGCUGGUUGGAGGGGUAACGGCCCACCAAGGCGACGAUCAGUAGCCGGUCUGAGAGGAUGAACGGCCACACUGGAACUGAGACACGGUCCAGACUCCUACGGGAGGCAGCAGUGGGGAAUCUUCCGCAAUGGGCGAAAGCCUGACGGAGCAACGCCGCGUGAGUGAUGACGGCCUUCGGGUUGUAAAACUCUGUGAUCCGGGACGAAAAGGCAGAGUGCGAAGAACAAACUGCAUUGACGGUACCGGAAAAGCAAGCCACGGCUAACUACGUGCCAGCAGCCGCGGUAAUACGUAGGUGGCAAGCGUUGUCCGGAAUUAUUGGGCGUAAAGCGCGCGCAGGCGGCUUCCCAAGUCCCUCUUAAAAGUGCGGGGCUUAACCCCGUGAUGGGAAGGAAACUGGGAAGCUGGAGUAUCGGAGAGGAAAGUGGAAUUCCUAGUGUAGCGGUGAAAUGCGUAGAGAUUAGGAAGAACACCGGUGGCGAAGGCGACUUUCUGGACGAAAACU
rnacentral:rRNA from 1 species